GGUCAUAAUUACGGGUGACAAUUUCAUAUGACACCGCGAGAAAAAACUGCCGUUUAAACCGAAAAGAUCCUUAUGUUCAUUCUAAAAACUGAAACAAAAGUAAAAGGGUGUUUUUUUUUUAACCCUCCUGCUAAUGUUUCAUCUCUACAAUUAACCAAUACAAAAUGUACCUUAUUCCCCCAGUUAAUUUUCCAAAGAGUUACCAUGGCAAAGCUAACUUUGACUUGAAUGACUCUUUAUAUUACUCUGCUACAAAAAUAGAACUGGAUUCUUUUAUUCAAGUCUCUGGUUUGAACCAAUUCUCGUCACACAUCUAUUC